UACGGGGGGAGCAAGCGUUGUUCGGAUUUACUGGGCGUAAAGGGCGCGUAGGCGGCGUGACAAGUCACUUGUGAAAUCUCCGGGCUUAACUCGGAACGGUCAAGUGAUACUGUCGUGCUAGAGUACAGAAGGGGCAACUGGAAUUCUCGGUGUAGCGGUGAAAUGCGUAGAUAUCGAGAGGAACACCUGCGGCGAAGGCAGGUUGCUGGGCUGAUACUGACGCUGAGGCGCGAAAGCCAGGGGAGCGAACGGG
rnacentral:rRNA from 1 species